GGUUCCAUAGCUCAGCUGGUUAGAGCAUCCGACUGUUAAUCGGGAGGUCGCAGGUUCGAUCCCUGCUGGAACCG
rnacentral:tRNA from 1 species